rnacentral:sRNA from 1 species
CUGAGCCCAGGACCAGAAGUGGCUCUAUCAGGGACCUCUCUGAGCUUCUGGAAAGGAGGUCCCCAGAGAACAGUGUUCCAUGUGAGGGUUUAACUGAACAUGGAACCUGUCAGCCAUUUCAGGGCAAGUCAGGAUGGGAAAUGCAG